UCCGUGACGGCGUGCCUUUUGCAUAAUGAGCCUACGAGUUACCGUUGCUAGCAAGGUUAAGUACUUAAGGUACGGAUCCGUAGCGAAAGCGAGUCUGAACAGGGCGCUUUAGUUAGUAGUGGUAGACGCGAAACCGUGUGAUCUACCCAUGGGCAGGGUGAAGCUGUGGUAACACACAGUGGAGGCCCGAACCGGUUGACGUUGAAAAGUCUUCGGAUGACCUGUGGGUAGGGGUGAAAGGCCAAUCAAACUCGGAAAUAGCUCGUACUCCCCGAAAUGCAUUUAGGUGCAGCGUCGGUUUAGUUUUAUAGAGGUAGAGCUACUGAUUGGAUGCGGGGGCUUCACCGCCUACCAAUUCCUGACAAACUCCGAAUGCUAUAAAAUGAUGACCGGCAGUGAGGGCAUGGGUGCUAAGGUCCAUGUCCGAGAGGGAAAGAACCCAGACCAUCAGCUAAGGUCCCUAAAUAUAUGUUAAGUUGAAUAAACGAGGUGAAACUGCUUAGACAGCUAGGAUGUUGGCUUGGAAGCAGCCAUUCAUUUAAAGAGUGCGUAACAGCUCACUAGUCGAGCGGUUUUGCAUGGAUAAUAAUCGGGCAUAAACAUAUUACCGAAGCUAUGGAUUUGUAUUAUAUACAAGUGGUAGGGGAGCAUUGUAACCUGCGUAGAAGGUGUGCUGUAAGGCAUGCUGGAGUGGUUACAAAAGAAAAUGUAGGCAUAAGUAACGAUAAAGGGGGCGAGAAACCCCCUCACCGAAAGACUAAGGUUUCCUCAGCGAUGCUAAUC
rnacentral:rRNA from 1 species